ensembl:lincRNA
AUGAUUUUCUUAAAUAAAUACUUAAACACGGGUCGGUCCUACAAGCACCUGGAGUCUAGGUCUGGUGUGCGGAGCUGCCUCGACUGUGGACCCAUGGAAGCCCUGGUACAGCCCGCGGAUGCCGUCGGACUUGGUGAUCUUCACCAGACAGUCUCCCAGGCCCCUGAACUCGCGCUCACUGCCCGACUUGCCCACGUCGGCCGCCAGGCGGGUUCGGGCGAAAUCCAGCGGGUAGACGAAGCACAGGGAGGUGGCCCCGGCCGCGCCGCCCGAGGCCAGGUUGCCUGCGAAGUACCUCCAGAACUGCGUGUGCUUGUCCACGCCCCCCAGGAAGAUCUGCUUGUACUUGUCCUUGAAAGCGAAGUUGAGGGCUUGCGUGGGGAAGUAGCGGAUGACGUUGGCCAGGUUGCCCCGCCAGAAGGACAGCACGCCCUGCUCCUUGGGGAUACGCACAAUGCAGUCCACGAUGCCCUUGUACUGCUUGUCGGCCGCGAUCUGCUUGCUCGCGUGCUGCACCUGGGGGGCGGCGGAGGGAGACACAGGGCUCUACCGGGGGCCUGGGCACACCGCCGAGACUUAGAGGAGAUUCUGGUGAAGCUCAGACAGCUCUGAGUGACUGCUCCAAGAGGUGAGGGAAAGGUCGGUAUGGGUGGGAUUCUGGUCAACAGAAGUUCAUACGAGCUAGGACAUAUUUUCGCGGAGCGUUUCUUACAGUCUCAAGGUGCAUUCGUCACCGUGAAGGUUUUUAAUGCUUUUUCACACACGACAGACAGGGAAGCUUGGCGUGCUGCACCCUGGGGCAGGAGUGAGGGGGAACAGGGCUUCACCCAGGGCCUAGGGCAGACCUCCAUGGCCACUUAUAAAAAAUACACGACCCGAGAGUGGCGAGUUACGAUCUGGGGCAAGGCGAGGACUACACCCCCCGGGGGAGAGCAGCUCAGAUAGCUGAGAGAUUGAGCCAGAGGUGAGACUGGAUGAGAUUCUGGUCAAUGGGAAGUUCCUAGAGCGAGCACACACUCUCGCAGAGCCUUUCUCAGAGCCUCAAGGAGCACUCGUCACAGUAAAAGUUUUUAGUGCUUUUCUAAACGAUGAACAGGGAAGCCUGGCGUGCUGCAGCCCAUGGGGUCGGCAAUGAUCGGACACAUCUGAGCGACUGAACUGAAACAUGAGGUGGGCAAGCAAGAAGUGGGCUCACAAUCAGCCACUGGAAACAUCUGUCUCAUGACCUGGCCUGUCACUUUUUCCCAGAACCCGCAUGCCUCAUUCCUGCUCUCCACCCUGAGGUCCUUUCACGGGGUCUGAAGGUCAGCAGCACCUGACUCAAUACUCAUAGAGACGGCUCAGACGGUCAAGAAUCACCCUGCAAUGCAGGAGACCCGGGUUUCACCCGAGUCAGGAAAAUCCGCUGAAGGAGGGCAUGGCAACCCAUUCCAGUAUGCUUCCCUGGAGAAUCCCAUGGACAGAGCAGCCUGGCAGGGCUACAGUCCAUGGGGUCGCAAGAGUCGGACACGACUGACACUACUACCGCUUUCAGAGGUAAACAGCAGGUGCCCACAAGCGCCAAUUUGCGGUUGACACCUGCAGAGGUCACCAACGACCGACGUGUCGUUAAUAAGACAUUUACACGGGGCCUUUAAGCUCUCCUAGCAUCCUUCCUGGGGAAUCCUAUUUUCUUUAAGGGUGGCAAUCCCAUCGCAACGCUAAUUCCACUGGCUCCCCAUUUGUGACGCUCCAAACAGACCAGCGCAGUUUAUUCCACCUCAGACCCGCGCAAACAAGUGCGAACAGUGGGCAAGAAGACCAGUACAACUGCGGAGACUAAAGAUCUUUCCCCACCCACAGCCUCGCAGGGUCCGUCCACGCGGCUCUCCCCCCCGCGCAUGCGCACUCCAACUCUGCAGCCCCCCAGUGCGCAGGCGCGGAGGGCGCCCCCGCCGGCCGCCCGACGCGCAUGCGGCGCCCCGCGCCCCAAUGCGGACAUCGCCGCCGGGCGCCCCCCGCGCAU